rnacentral:rRNA from 1 species
GACGAACGCUGGCGGCGUGCUUAACACAUGCAAGUCGAACGGUAAGGCCCUUUCGGGGGUACACGAGUGGCGACCGGGUGCGUAACACGUGGGUGAUCUGCCCUGCCCUUUGGGAUAAGCCUGGGAAACUGGGUCUAAUACCGGAUAGGACUCCGCGAUGCAUGUCGUGUGGUGGAAAGCUCUUGCGGUGUGGGAUGGGCCCGCGGCCUAUCAGCUUGUUGGUGGGGUGAUGGCCUACCAAGGCGACGACGGGUAGCCGGCCUGAGAGGGUGUCCGGCCACACUGGGACUGAGAUACGGCCCAGACUCCUACGGGAGGCAGCAGUGGGGAAUAUUGCACAAUGGGCGCAAGCCUGAUGCAGCGACGCCGCGUGGGGGAUGACGGCCUUCGGGUUGUAAACCCCUUUCAGCACAGACGAAGCGUAAGUGACGGUAUGUGCAGAAGAAGCACCGGCCAACUACGUG